UACGUAGGGUGCGAGCGUUGUCCGGAAUUACUGGGCGUAAAGAGCUCGUAGGCGGUGUGUCGCGUCGGCCGUGAAAACCUGCAGCUUAACUGUGGGCGUGCGGUCGAUACGGGCAUCACUGGAGUUCGGCAGGGGAGACUGGAAUUCCUGGUGUAGCGGUGAAAUGCGCAGAUAUCAGGAGGAACACCAGUGGCGAAGGCGGCCGGCUGGGCCAUACCUGACGCUGAGGCGCGAAAGCGUGGGGAGCGAACCGG
rnacentral:rRNA from 1 species